GUUGAUCCUCUUUUUGCUAAUUGCACUUCCUUGUUGUCUUUGCUUGUUGGCCCUCCAAGUGUUUGUAGUGUUUUUCAAGAAAGCUUGUUUCGGCCUUGGCUUUGUUUCCCCUUAGAAUGAAGGUUUUAAUUCUCCAAUUCCAGCACCUAUCAAAAGACUAGACCUUACCCAAGUCAAGUUUCCAUUCAAUUAAGCACCAAAGGAGAAAUAAAUUCCAGCACCAAAUUUGAGGUCAAAGAACAAAAGCAAGAAACAAUUUAAUUGAAUAAAACAGUACCACCAAAAGGAGUUAGAUUAUGACAACUAGAAAGAGGUCCAAGAAAUAUUAAGCAAGCAAAUAAAAGGUACCAAAAUAAAGGUAGGCACACAAAAGAAUCCUAAGAAUAGCACUAGAAUUAGAUGACCAAAUAAAAAAAACAGCACCACUGGAAAAUGUUGUGGGCCAGAAACGUGUUUUUCCCCAAUUUAUGCUGAGUUGUGUUUUUAAGAUAUGAUUCUGAAAUUUGAUAUGCAAGAUAUUCAAGAUCUUAGCUAAAAUCUGGCUUUGGAAUCACUCAAAACGCAUGCACCAAUUUUGUUUUAAUAAAUUUUGCAAUUUUGGUGUUCAGUUACGCCAGCUGUAGCGCCUCAGAUUUGCACACUGAUUUUAAAAGAUUUAUCAUUUUUUUUCUGUUGAUUCUUUUGGACUAAUUCUUUUUU
rnacentral:lncRNA from 1 species